rnacentral:miRNA from 14 species
CUGGAGCUCACUCUGUAGACCAGGCUGGACUCAAACUCACAGAUAUCAGCCUGCCUCUGCCUCCCGAAUGCUGGGAU